AUGACAGGAGAAAUCCAUCAACGAGUGCUGCUGGAUUCUUUAAGAGGUUGGAAACCCAAACCUUUGCAUGUCUCGCUAAAAACUGCAGGAAGAUAUGAGGUCUUGCAGGCACUGAGCUUUCAGUUUGCACAGUAAAGUACAUACUAAAUGCUGAAAGGCUCAGUGUGUGCAUUCCAGCUCUUUUUGAAAGCAAUCAAAAGAAAAGUGGACUUCAAUAUUUUUUCAAACCACGAUAGAAAAAAAAAGAACUCAGCAAUGGUACUAUUUUAUCUUGUGGAGGGAUCUAAUAUAAAAUGUACCUUUUCAGGUUUACUGUGUGUAAAAAUUUAUGUAAGUGUGUGUUUUCUGGAAAGAGGACCGUAUUUACAAGAAAUCAUCCGCUGAAAACUUGCAGUACCUGGAGGGCAAGAAACAUCAAAGAAAGUGUAGGAAAAGUUCAGGAAAGCUUGAAUUUGAAAUCACUAAAUCCUCAAGGAGGACAACAAUCCCAAGGGCCUUAAAGUCCACCACAACUGGGUUUCAGAAGUCAUGGAGGAUUUCAUCUCACUCACUUUGAAGGCCAUAAAAAUGUGUUCAGGUUUGUCAGUUCCAAUGCACAAAACAUGUGGAAUCAAAGUUGAUUUUCUAAAAAGAAGUGAGCGGUGGUUCCACAGAGGUACCUCCACUGCUGGUGUCAUUAGAGGGGACAUUUAACCAAAGAGCAACACAUCCUGAAACUGUUGAAUAUUUUUGAGACAGGCUUUUGGUGCAUUUGAUUGGAAUCACCUUUAAUGCUAGUUAUGUCCAGCCAUGUAAAUACAAGCAUUUUGUGAUUUGUCCAUUACUUGUUGUGUCACUUUUUUUUCAAACACAUCAAACAAUUGUGUACAUUUUGCAAGUAAAUCUAACUUUCAGCUGUGGUAUGAUUGUGCAACUGUAUGAGAAAAUGUCUUUAUUAGUUUUUAAAGUCCAUCUCUUAUUAUUUUUUGAUCUGUUGUAAAAGCGUUUCCAGUGGUCUUUUAAUUAAAAAUAUUUUGUUUUUAACAAAAUAAAUAAAUAAAUAAAAAAUAAAGCUUGUCAUUUUCUGGACACACUGUAGUUUCUGCAGAGCAGCAGUAGAUCAGGGACCAUUGGUGGAGAACAACCACACCCCUUCUACCCCUCCCCAUUGCUGAAAGCUCUCCGUUUACAUACUCUCCCAUUAGCUUACAGUCCCUCCUACAGAGUCUCACUCCCAACGUGUCUUAUAUGGAUGUCACUUUUUGACAUUUUGGGUGUCACCAAUCUGUUGUUUUUUGACAUGUUGGCUUUUCUCAUUAAAUAACCGGUCCCCAACCCUCGUGACACAAUACCAACGCAGAGUACCGGUCCAGUCCACGCCACGAGGGUUGGAGACCCCUGAUUAGCGUAUGCAUUUUUCCCUGUUUGUGACCUGGUACCAAGCGGCCCUUGGACCAGUACCGGCCCAGAGGUUGGAGACUACUGAUUUGAUGGGAACAGCCAGCACAUCAAAAAACGACAAGUUGGGGACAAACAAAAUGUCAAAAAGUAACCCGGAUGGAGUUCGAACCAUUCAUUCAUUUAUGACGAGUCGGGAGUGAGUAUGCGCUGGUACCUCACACCCCCAAACUAACAUUACUCGUGCAAGAAAAAUUGGAUCCACAUGCCAACUCUGACAAGGAAGACAAAGAAAGGAGGACAAAAUGUUCAAGUGCAUCAACUAGAAAUCCUUUAUUACAAAUUUUAAAAAGCAUCAAUAAAAUCAUAAACAGCAAAAUCUGAAAAACAGCUAAAUGCAGUUCUGGUGUUUUUUUUAGGGUUCUAUAAAGAGCCAGAAAACCCGUUACAGUCAAGUCAUUUGGAGCACUGCCGUCACUGGGUUUGGCUGGAUGAUUGGAACUCCCACGUAAAGUCAAAGUGACAUUGGUACUGAGAGUAAAAUAACUGUCGACCCUCAAGGCUGUAGAGGAGGAAGACGAUUGUACACAAUGAUAAAACUUGAGGGAUGAAGAAGGCAGAGGGCAGGUGGUGCUCUACAGGGUUGACAGAUUCAAUUUUAUUUUUUAAUUUAGAAAUUCUUUACAUUUGUGGGUAAAGAUCACAGUGAACCGCCCUGCUGCAUUUAUUUUUCUCCUGAUGUGAACAAGUAAAAAAAAAAAAAAAACUAUGAUGAAUUUAGGACUUUUCUCGCUGCAAGCCUGAUGGCAAACUAAAAUAAAUAAAUAUAUAUAAGCGCAUUUGCAGCAAUACAUUUCACAGUUGUGGUUGUGGCGUUAAAGGAUUAGCAUCUGCAGAUGAACUAACUGACUGGAUUAGUGCUCUUGUUGCUUAAUCUGGAGACACUAUGACAAAGACACACCCACACAUACACGUGUGAAGAAAGAAAAAAAAAAAAA